rnacentral:lncRNA from 1 species
CGAAAUCAUCAUAAAAGCAAUAGCAUUUUUUUUUUCUCCAACAAAAAAACCAUAUUACACACAUAUAAAGUCUACUUUCAUUCUUUAAUACAAACCAUACUUAAAACGUGUCAUUACUAGGUGACAUAUAACAAAACAUAUAACUAGGCCAUCCCCAGGUCAAAGUAGCCAUAUGUACAUCAUCGAGGCGAGGUUCUGCUUCAGCUCGGUCCCACUUCUAUUUAUGUUUAUCUUUACCCUUUCCUGCAACACAAGAAAACUAUGAGCUACGUCGCUCAGUAAGUAAAGUAACUGAAGAUAAUUUAACACACAUAAGUAAUUCAACAUGUAUAAGUGCAUUCCAUCUUAUCUUUAUUAUUUAUGAACCUUGACACUUUAAAUUAGUGCACCAUGUUGACACAUUUGCCUGCAGGGCUUUCGUAUAACAUAAUAUCCCAUGGGAAACCUCCUCAGGCGCCAUUACCAACAGAGUGGCUCGUUGUAUACCUUAUUCUAUCGUUGCCCCGUCGAGCUCAAGACCUAAGGCGGCCUUGCUCUGUGGUAUCUGAUCACAUAGAUCUUAACAACAUAGAGGAGGCAAGAUCAACUCAUAUUCGAUAAUCGAACCUGGCCUGCCCUUAAAGGGCUACCCUUACAAGCCUACAAAAGGCCUAAUAAAACUUAUCUUCUCGUAACAAUGACACAAUUCAAUUAUACCAUCAUCUUCUCAAUUGAUCACAUGUAUAAUUUAGCAACAUAUGCUAUCAGAAUUUCCCGAUAAAUACACACAGUCAGUAACGUACUACAACCAUUUCAAUCUUCACAAAGUAACACAAAAUUGACAAUCACCAAAAACAAAUUCAAAUAAGAAAUUUUGUGUUGCAGUUAAGUACUUUACUUACCUCGAGUCCAACUUAAACUGGUCCAACUUAAACAAGAAGAUGCUUUCAAUCAAGGUCACAAUCACCUAAAAUCAUACAUAUUUUCCUUUGUCAUAAAUCAUUCUCUAUGCCACUUAUAAAAUUUAUAAUUGUGGUUCUGUUAAUUAAACCAUAAUUCCACCAUUAAAUAAAUUAAUAACUACUUAUAAUAUUAUAACUAUAAGUAGUAUCUAAAAAGUUACUAAAUAAAAUAUUGAAAUAUUAUUCAAUAGAAUAAACAGAAAUAAACGACUACUUAAAAGAAGUAGUUACCUCAAAGCUGAGCUUAGCUUUGAUUCCCU